GACAGAGGUGCCAAGCGUUAGGCGGAAUCACUGGGCUUAAAGCGUGUGUAGGCGGAUCGUUAAGUACCUUGUGAAAUCCCACGGCUCAACCGUGGAACUGCUCGGUAUACUGGCGGUCUUGAGCCACCUAGGGGCAACUGGAAUUCUCGGUGUAGCGGUGAAAUGCGUAGAUAUCGAGAGGAACACCUGCGGCGAAGGCGGGUUGCUGGGCUGACACUGACGCUGAUGCGCGAAAGCCAGGGGAGCGAACGGG
rnacentral:rRNA from 1 species